rnacentral:rRNA from 1 species
UACGAAGGGUGCAAACGUUGCUCGGAAUCAUUGGGCGUAAAGCGCACGUAGGCGGCUUGCCAAGUCGGACGUGAAAUCCCUCAGCUCAACUGAGGACGUGCAUCCGAAACUGGCGAGCUUGAGUGCUGAAGAGGAUCGCGGAAUUCCCGGUGUAGAGGUGAAAUUCGUAGAUAUCGGGAGGAACACCAGUGGCGAAGGCGGCGAUCUGGGCAGAUACUGACGCUGAGGUGCGAAAGCGUGGGGAGCAAACAGG